AUGCCUGUACCAUAACCGACACAGGUGGGUAGGUAGAGUAUACUAAGGGGCGCGAGAUAACUCUCUCUAAGGAACUCGGCAAAAUGACUCCGUAACUUCGGGAGAAGGAGUGCCUUAUUUAUAAGGUUGCAAUAACAAGAUCCAAGCAACUGUUUAUCAAAAACACAGGUCUCCGCUAAGUCGUAAGACGAUGUAUGGGGGCUGACGCCUGCCCAGUGCCAGAAGGUUAAAGAAGUUGGUUAGUGUAUGCGAAGCUGAUGACUGAAGCCCUGGUGAACGGCGGCCGUAACUAUAACGGUCCUAAGGUAGCGAAAUUCCUUGUCGGGUAAGUUCCGACCCGCACGAAAGGCGUAAUGAUUUGGAUACUGUCUCGGAGAGAGGCUCGGUGAAAUAGACUUGUCUGUGAAGAUGCGGACUACCUGCACCAGGACAGAAAGACCCUAUGAAGCUUUACUGUAACUUGAAAUUGGAAUUGGACUUUGCUUGCGCAGUAUAGGUGGGAAGCGUUGAAGAUAUUCUUGCGGGAGUAUUGGAGCUAUCAGUGAGAUACCACUCUUGUAAUGUUAGAUUUCUAACUUUGAACCAUAAUCUGGUCAAAGAACAGUUUCAGGUGGGCAGUUUGACUGGGGCGGUCGCCUCCCAAAUGGUAACGGAGGCGUACAAAGGUUUCCUCUGAACGGAUAGAAAUCGUAUCUAGAGUGUAAAGGCAUAAGGAAGCUUGACUGUGAGACCUACAAGUCGAGCAGGGACGAAAGUCGGUCUUAGUGAUCUGACGGUACUGAGUGGAAAGGCCGUCACUCAACGGAUAAAAGUUACUCUAAGGAUAACAGGCUGAUCUCCCCCAAGAGUUCACAUCGACGGGGAGGUUUGGCACCUCGAUGUCGGCUCAUCGCAUCCUGGGGCGGUAGUACGUCCCAAGGGUUGGGCUGUUCGCCCAUGAAAGCGGUACGCGAGCUGGGUUCAGAACGUCGUGAGACAGUUCGGUCCAUAUCCGGUGUAGGCGUUAGAAUAUUGAGAGGAGCCUUCUUUAGUACGAGAGGACCGAGAAGGACACACCGCUGGUGUACCAGUUAUCGUGCCAACGGUAAACGCUGGGUAGCUAUGUGUGGAGUGGAUAACCGCUGAAAGCAUCUAAGUGGGAAGCCCACCUCAAGAUGAGUAUUCUCACAGGGUUAACCUGGUAAGGUCACGGGAAGACCACCCGUUGAUAGGUGUUAGGUGGAAUGCCAGCAAUG
rnacentral:rRNA from 1 species